ensembl:lncRNA
CGCAUGACAAACCGAACCAAUCAGGUGAUUCGAAGCAGUUGAGUGCUUCAAACGUCACUGAAGUGAUUCAAACGUCACGAGUCACGUGACCAAAACACGCGUCGGCACAGUGGUUCGAUACGUUCGCUUCAUGAGCUUCUGGCUGCUGUUGACCUUGUUUUUGGAGUAAAACACGGUGGAAGCUGAAUUAGUGAGGAUGACUCCUGCUCCUGUCAUCUCUAAGCUCCUCACACAUCUUUACCUGCACAUGAAGAAAAUCACUCCUGUAGAAUGCAGAUGUUCAGAGGGAGAUGAUGCCACAUCUGGUCCAGCUGAUGGAAGGUCUUGAAGUUCUCUGACUGGCCUCGACUGAAGAUGGUCGUCUCACUGGAUUUAAGGUUCAGAUGCUCAGUAACAAACUCCACCAAUGUGCCAACAGGGAAGCUUUAGGUUUAUUAAAUGUUGCUAUGAAGGUUUUGCUGUUUUUCUUUGUGAAUGCAAUGUGCUCCAACUGAAACUUGAAUUAGAACUUAGAAGUAAAUCCUUCCAUCUGAAAGGAUUUAGUUGCAUUAAUAACCUCAUAACAUUCUAAUUUUUAUUUCAGUCUUGGUUGGAAAUAGAAUCUCUGUAUUGAUUCAGUUAAAAACUGAACUUUACAGCAUGUUGGAGCAAAACAACCAGAUGAAAACUAUGCUGGUGUUGGAUUGUCAGACCGUAAUGUUGCAGCUCAAACCAGCUUUUCUAGCUCAGUUCAUUCUGACAUUCAGCUAUGAAUCAACACAGCAGAUGGUGAUCCAUGCUGUGGAAGUCUCACAUCUCCUGAUUUAAUGGAGCUGCUUUGCACUUUUUACACUGUUUAUUCACCAACACUUUAUUUAAUAAAAGUCCCAUCUAGUUUUUAUGAGGAAUGUGAUGUUUUAAUUUCUCUGUGAAUAACUGCAGUCUAAUGCAACAGCUGGAGUUGUAACAUCUGUCCUGAUAUUGAUCAUGAAGUAUUGAUCAGAAUACUUACGGUUAGCAGUCAUCCCUGAAGAUUUACAUUAAAAUCUUUACUUGUGUUUUGAACUUUGGUACGAAGCAGAAACUUUAGCUUUGCCAUGGAUAUAAGUGUUAAAUUCUGUCCAUGUUUCCAUUGUGGGAAAUUCAGUCCAGCAGAUGAGUUUGUUUUUACUGCCAGCUACCAUUCAGUCUGAGAUAUUAAGAAUAAAUAAAUGUGCAUAAUGUGGAAAUGAACAGAUUUUAUUUUUAUUUAUUCCUACAGCUGCUGCAGGGAAUGUUCUCAAAUGUGGAGGAAUUUAGUCUCACAAUCACAGACAAUAAAUAUUAUCUGAAAGUCAGGGUAUUGUUGUUUAUCAGUGCAAUACAAAAAGAUUGAUGUUAGAAAUAUUCCAGUUAAGACUCUAGAAUAUAAUGAUCUAUGUAAAUUUACCUCAAUAAUAUGAAUGUUCAGGUUAAGAUUGUACAGUGAUAUUUAUUAUGCAAGUUUAGCUGAUUAAAGUUUAUAACUCUGCACUAAAAUAUUAUUUAAAUCGACAUCAUUAUUAUAAUAUUUAGGGUCAGACCCGACAGUAUUGAGAUUAAGAAAUCAAAUAUUCUAUAAAAUGUAAAUACACUGAACUCAUUUGGAUAUAUUUAAGUGAGACUCUACAAUAUUAUUUGACACAAAUCUAUCUAAAUUUUAAUAAUUUUCACGCCAAACAUUUACUGGACUGAUUUAAACAUUAAAAUCACUCCUUUCUAAUCCUCUGCUGUACUUUCAAACCUGAGGCCUUAAAUAGAAACACACAAGUAUCUGUUUGAAGGAACUUCUGCAGAGUCCUGGUUCCAGAACAUGAUGAUAGAAUUAUAGACAAACUUUAACAAAAGCUGCCUGAGAGUUUACAGGUUUUUAUGUGAGAUUUCUUCAGUAAUUUAAUGAGUUAUCAGCAGAAAUCAAGUGUUCAUUUGAUGAACUUCAUUUCCUAAAACAUCCAGAAUUGGAGCUCAUAUAUUUGGCAGCUGUAAAGUUUCUGCUCCUUCAAAGUUCACAACACAAUGAAUUAAUUCCUAAAACACUCAAUGCUGGAGAGCGUUUGUGAUGCUGAAGCAGUGACCAGUUUUUCUGUUUCUUCUCUGGAGAUGCACAAUGAGGGACGUCUGCAGCGACUGAGAAAGAGUCUCACCACAUCCUGACAUGAGGAAAAGACUUUAUUGAAGACUACAAUGAGAAAAACUAUCAGACAGCAGACGACAUGCAUUCAAGGUGAGCUCUGAACAUUUGAUCUGGAACAGGAAUUCAAUAACGGCAGCAUGAGCUUCAUUUCAGUCUGUAGCUGCUGAAUUCAUGGAUGAAUCAUCUGGCACUAGAGAGGAAGACCAUCAAACAUCCAUGUCAGCUGAUGGAGGUCCAAGAGUCUCACCGAACAAACAACCUACAGAGUAGUAAUGUGAGGAGACGUGCCGAGGCUUCGAAGCGUGUGCCGAGUAAUGGAGGGGGCGUUUCCACGAAGCGCGUAUCGAGGCUUGCUUUAUUUAGGGGAGGAGCCAAAAUGAUGACGUCCGAAGCCUCGCUGCCUGGCUAAACCACGUGACUGCUUCGGAAAGUGGUUCAGAUUUUGCCCCUCAGGCUCCGUUCAAAAUGUGGGUUUUUGAUAGAGAGUUGCGGUCAGUAUUCUACACGUGAGAAUUUAUCUACAGAAAUUAUUUGGUCAUACAUUUUCUUGUAUUUCAUAGUCAUUCCCAACAGCCAUAACCGAUAAAAUUUCAGUGCAUCAGACAUGUGGUUCAGAUACAGCUGCCUGUGAUUAUACACCUGGCCAGUAGGUGGCUUUGUGUGCUCAUGAAGCUUCAAGAAAUGAACCGUUUCUCGAACCAAUUGGCUCAAGUGGUUCAAUGCCUCAUGAGGCUUCAUCUCACGCUCACUACUACAGAGUGAAGACCUCGAAUCUGAUUGGACGGCCUCCUAUUCAGCCACAUGUGUGAACAAAUGACUCUAAGUUGAUUUAAUUUCUAAAAUAAAUCUAGUUUGAGUUCUAAUCUAUGUCUGUGUGUUUGUUUCUUUACACUGCUGUUAACAGUUUAGGCUGUUAGAUUGUUCCAGAUAAACUCUCUACAAGGAUCCAAAAUAAGUUGGGCUUCUACAUGAGAGCUUUAAUUAUUCUUCAUCUACUUCCUGAAAAGUUUGGUCAAUAAAAAAGACAAAAACUAAUAUUUUCAGUUGAACUAAAGACAGACUGUGAUUUUUCUGCUCACAUGUUGUGUUGUUGUAAACUUACUCUUUCAAAUAAAUACCCAUCUAACCCCUUGGAAACCAGCGUUUGUCCUGUUUUUGUGUUGCUCCUCAGCAACCCUAGACAGCCGGGUCGUAAUGUUUUUUGAGCAACACACCAUACUAUGAUGUUUUUACAAUGAUGGUUCUACUAUGGAACCAGUUUGACAUGUUCAGGUGUUCUUUGUGUGAAAAUUCUGAGAUUUCAGGUAUCAGAAGGUGGUUUUCAACUUUCUUUGUUAACUUUCUGCCUCAACUUGAAACUAAAUUUCCUUCACUAACCCAGCCCUCUGGACUUCCAGUAAGCUGUGUUCCUAUUGGCUGUCCAGGUGGCUGCUUGGUGUUAUCAGAAACACCUGAGCAGCUCAGUGUCUUCCUGCUUUAUUUGGCGACAGUCAAACAUUUCCUCUGCUUCUCUUCACCACAGAACUGGGUUUGGCUCCAUUGCUUUAGUUUGUUCUUUAGGCGUUGGCUUGCAGCUUCCAGCAGUAAAAUCAUCUUUAAUGUGUUUCCUGGUGUGUUUUAGGGCUUUGUACUGGAUAGUUGUCUUGGUAAAUGUGGUUUUUUAGCCACAGUUAGCACAUGGUGCUAAUGUGUGCAGUGAUUAGUGGAUUUGGUGCAGCUGAGUUGUGUCUUUAUCUUGGCUGUAGUGAGUCUUUAGAGGUUUUUGGUCAGACACAUUCUGUAUUCUUGUUUGAGAACCGAUGCUGAUUGUCCAGAAGGUAAGAGUUCCUGUCCUGAUUCUCUGUUCUCAGAGGUUCUCUGGUAGGCUGCAGGAGACUUUAGUGUUUGGGUUGUGCUAGUUUGGUUUUUGUAUGGUUUCAUUUGGAUGACUCUUGAGGCUCCUCCAUGUGGUUUAGUGAGGUUUUCUGCAACAGUUCUACAAAGCAACCUGCAGCAGAAGAGACUUUGAGAGUUUUUAGGAAGUUCUGGAGACCAGACUUUAGAGCAGCAGAAACAUUUGUCAGCAGUUUGAGCAGGAGAAGGUGAGCUUCAGAGUAGAAAUGAGACGGAAACCUUCUUAACCCAUGUGGUGAGGUCCUGUACCAAGAGUUUGAGCAGGUUGUGAAGAGUCUGUCGUUCUCUGGUCUGAAAGCACAAGAAGAGUCGACUCAUUAAAGGAGAAAACAGGAGAUAUU